AUGUAAGAAAAUAUUUAAUAUCAUGAUCAUCAAAUAACAUAUAGAUAACUCAUCAAGUGAGAAAAUCAAACAAAUCAUAACAAUAACUGUAAUUAAGUCUUUUACCAUAAUUCGUGCGAACCCCGUUAUGACUUUUUAUCUACUAGCUAAUAUGGACUCCCAACUACCAUUGUGGUGAUACUAACGGCAAUUUAUAGCUUACUCAACCAUAGUAGAUU
rnacentral:lncRNA from 1 species